AACAAUUCUUCUGUAUAGCUUCUUACAUUCUUCUGCUCUGUGUUCUGUGCUCAUGUAGUCUCUAACAAUUCUUUUAUGUAGCUUUCAAUGAUUCUCUCAUCUCACAUUUCAUACUUGUGUAGCUUCUAACAAUUCUUACAUGUAUCUUUUAAUGUUCUUUCACUCCACACUUCACUGUGGAGUGGCUUCUGAUAUUCUUCCAUCUCAAACUUUCCUCUAUAAGAACCCUCUUUGUAUGAUCUUUUUUUCUGAUUUCUUUUCUCUUUCUUUUCUUAAUCAAUUUGUAAUCUGUAAUUAGAAUAGUGCU
rnacentral:sRNA from 1 species